UGCGUAGGCGGCCGAGUAAGUCAGAUGUGAAAUCUAUGGGCUCAACCCAUAAACUGCAUUUGAAACUACCCGGCUUGAGUGAAGUAGAGGCAGGCGGAAUUCCCUGUGUAGCGGUGAAAUGCGUAGAGAUAGGGAGGAACACCAGUGGCGAAGGCGGCCUGCUGGGCUUUAACUGACGCUGAGGCACGAAAGCGUGGGUAGCAAACA
rnacentral:rRNA from 1 species